UCACUGUUUCUCUCUCUCUCUCUCUCUCUCUCUCUCUCUCUCUCUCUCUCUCUGUGUGUGUGUGUGAGAGAGAGAGAGAGAGAGAGAGAGAGAGAGAGAAAGAGAGAGUGUUUUGGUGA
rnacentral:miRNA from 1 species